rnacentral:rRNA from 1 species
GGGGCUGCUGCUACAAUAGGCAGGAACCACGAUGGUCUGUUCCUAGGCUCCUCAGCAAUGGUUUUUGAUGGGAUAAACGAUCCACCGAUGCUGGAAGCGUUGGCUUGCCGCGAGGCUCUAGCCCUAGCUCAGGAUCUAAAUUUAGAUCAGAUUGUUGUUGCUUGUGAUUGCAAAACCGUUGUGGAGGAAAUUAAGAGUGGGACGGAAGGGAGAUAUAGCAUUGUUAUUAAGGAGAUCCAGGCCCAGGCAAGACAAUUUUCUUGGUGUGAUUUCAUCUUCGAAGGUCGGCAAGGGAAUGUUGAUGCUCAUAAUUUAGUAAAAUUUUGUACUUCUCUAGAACAAGGGCACCAUAUGUGGCUGGGAGUACCCCAUGACCCUUUUGUUAUCGCUGUAAACCGAAACACUAAUCAAUAA